rnacentral:lncRNA from 1 species
CACAUUUCUCUCCUGCCCAAACAGUCUGAAACCCUCUUCCCUUUCUCACUCAUUGAAUGGUUCAGAGCUUACCCAAUCUACGACCACCAUGACGAAGCUCGUCGAUGACGAAGAUCGAAAGCAUUUGGUGAACCGACUCCCGUUUGUCAUUUGAAUCGGCGAAUCACAACAGCCCUCUGUCAUUUGAAUCCUCCAACGUAGAGCGCUCGACGAUCGCCGUCAAUGACCCCCUCAUUGAUGAAGACCGUCAGUAAUAUCUUCAGGUAGUGAAAAUCAAGUGCGGUCAAAGUGUAUGUUCUGUGAAGACCCAACUUUUACUCUUGAAAACUCACUUUGCUAGAUAUUUUCCGUGAACCAACUUAGAGUAUCCAAUUCAAGUAUGCUCACUGUUUUCAUGUAUUUGUUUCUCUGGAUAGAUGACGAUGUGGCAUUUUGUUUGGGUUUGAUUGCUCUGAUUAUUGAUUUGUGGUCUGUGCUUAAAUGAGGGCUUUUGUUUAAUGAGAGAAGAAGAACUUUACCACAACUCCGAACCUUACCAUGUAUGGGAUUUGGGUAUUUUUCUGUUUUUCAGCGUGAUCUUGAUCUUAAUAAAUUGGGUUUUGACAAAG